UACAGAGGGGGCAAGCGUUGUUCGGAAUUACUGGGCGUAAAGGGCGCGUAGGCGGCCCGCUAAGUCGAACGUGAAAUCCCCGAGCUCAACUCGGGAACUGCGUCCGAUACUGGCGGGCUUGAAUCCGGGAGAGGGAUGCGGAAUUCCAGGUGUAGCGGUGAAAUGACGUAGAUAUCUGGAGGAACACCGGUGGCGAAGGCGGCAUCCUGGACCGGCAUGACGCUGAGGCGCGAAAGCUAGGGGAGCAAACGGG
rnacentral:rRNA from 1 species